UACGAAGGGUGCAAGCGUUAAUCGGAAUUACUGGGCGUAAAGCGUGCGUAGGUGGUUGGUUAAGUCUGUCGUGAAAGCCCUGGGCUCAACCUGGGAAUGGCGAUGGAUACUGGCCGACUAGAGUGCGGUAGAGGGUAGCGGAAUUUCCGGUGUAGCGGUGAAAUGCGUAGAGAUCGGAAGGAACAUCCGUGGCGAAGGCGGCUACCUGGGCCAGCACUGACACUGAGGCACGAAAGCGUGGGGAGCAAACAGG
rnacentral:rRNA from 1 species